rnacentral:rRNA from 1 species
CAGGUCGAGCGGGAGAGAGGUAGCUUGCUACUGAUCUUAGCGGCGGACGGGUGAGUAAUGCUUAGGAAUCUGCCUAUUAGUGGGGGACAACAUUUCGAAAGGAAUGCUAAUACCGCAUACGUCCUACGGGAGAAAGCAGGGGAUCUUCGGACCUUGCGCUAAUAGAUGAGCCUAAGUCGGAUUAGCUAGUUGGUGGGGUAAAGGCCUACCAAGGCGACGAUCUGUAGCGGGUCUGAGAGGAUGAUCCGCCACACUGGGACUGAGACACGGCCCAGACUCCUACGGGAGGCAGCAGUGGGGAAUAUUGGACAAUGGGCGCAAGCCUGAUCCAGCCAUGCCGCGUGUGUGAAGAAGGCCUUAUGGUUGUAAAGCACUUUAAGCGAGGAGGAGGCUACUUUAGUUAAUACCUGGAGAUAGUGGACGUUACUCGCAGAAUAAGCACCGGCUAACUCUGUGCCAGCAGCCGCGGUAAUACAGAGGGUGCAAGCGUUAAUCGGAUUUACUGGGCGUAAAGCGCGCGUAGGCGGCUAAUUAAGUCAAAUGUGAAAUCCCCGAGCUUAACUUGGGAAUUGCAUUCGAUACUGGUUAGCUAGAGUGUGGGAGAGGAUGGUAGAAUUCCAGGUGUAGCGGUGAAAUGCGUAGAGAUCUGGAGGAAUACCGAUGGCGAAGGCAGCCAUCUGGCCUAACACUGACGCUGAGGUGCGAAAGCAUGGGGAGCAAACAGGAUUAGAUACCCUGGUAGUCCAUGCCGUAAACGAUGUCUACUAGCCGUUGGGGCCUUUGAGGCUUUAGUGGCGCAGCUAACGCGAUAAGUAGACCGCCUGGGGGAGUACGGUCGCAAGACUAAAACUCAAAUGAAUUGACGGGGGCCCGCACAAGCGGUGGAGCAUGUGGUUUAAUUCGAUGCAACGCGAAGAACCUUACCUGGCCUUGACAUAGUAAGAACUUUCCAGAGAUGGAUUGGUGCCUUCGGGAACUUACAUACAGGUGCUGCAUGGCUGUCGUCAGCUCGUGUCGUGAGAUGUUGGGUUAAGUCCCGCAACGAGCGCAACCCUUUUCCUUAUUUGCCAGCGAGUAAUGUCGGGAACUUUAAGGAUACUGCCAGUGACAAACUGGAAGGAAGGCGGGGGACAACGUCAAGUCAUCAUGGGCCCUUACGGCCAGGGGUUACCACGGGGCUUACAAUGGUCCGGAACAAAGGGGUGGCUACCUAACGGAAGGGAGGCUAUUCCCAAAAGCCGAUCGGAAUCCCGGAAUGGA